rnacentral:ncRNA from 2 species
AGCUCAUCCAGAGGAGCAGAGGGUACGGCCCGACGAAGCUCCGGCAACCGCCCAGGACCCCCCGCAUUCGCGAGGCCCGGCCUGGGAGCAGGUGCCAAAUCCGGCCCGUCGACAGUCGGCGGGGAAGAUGAGGG